UUGGCAGCAACACAGGUGUACCGUCCGUGCUGUGAGUACGACACGUUUUGCAGCUGGAGCUGUGGUGUCGUUGACAAUGGAUAGCCAUCUGCGGGCGCUGCUAGUUGUGCAGGAGAUCCUGAUGGACUGUUCGUUAUCACAAUCAUAGAGACCUACUAGAUAAAGAAAGUAGACGAUUUAUGGUGAAAUAAUUAUGGUAUUAGUGAAUCUUACUUGUGGUACCACUGGUAAGAGGGCGCUGGGUUUCCAUCGGCUUUGCACUCCAACGUGACUUGUGAGAACAAAUUUGCUUCCACCACGGUAUCUGGACCGACCCAUGUCACUCGCGGUGGAUCUAAAAUCGAAUAAUACCAAGUUAUUGAAUAAAUUAGGCCAGUUAUAGAAACAUUUGUAUCUACAUAUCUACAAAAAGGCAACCAUUAGUCCAUUCGUAUAAAAUUAUUUCUUAUAAUUAUUUUUUCAAUCAAACUGUUUAUGACUACUUCUCCGACUCCAACGGUUGCUAAAUAAAGAGUAUUUAAAGAA